AGAUGUGUAUAAGAGACAGAUAUAUGUUAAGUGGAAAAGGAUGUGGCGUUGCCCAGACAACUAGGAUGUUGGCUUAGAAGCAGCCAUCAUUUAAAGAGUGCGUAAUAGCUCACUAGUCGAGUGACACUGCGCCGAAAAUGUACCGGGGCUAAACAUAUUACCGAAGCUGUGGAUUGUCCUUUGGACAAUGGUAGGAGAGCGUUCUAAGGGCGUUGAAGCAUGAUCGUAAGGACAUGUGGAGCGCUUAGAAGUGAGAAUGCCGGUGUGAGUAGCGAAAGACGGGUGAGAAUCCCGUCCACCGAUUGACUAAGGUUUCCAGAGGAAGGCUCGUCCGCUCUGGGUUAGUCGGGUCCUAAGCUGAGGCCGACAGGCGUAGGCGAUGGAUAACAGGUUGAUAUUCCUGUACCACCUAUAAUCGUUUUAAUCGAUGGGGGGACGCAGUAGGAUAGGCGAAGCGUGCGAUUGGAUUGCACGUCUAAGCAGUAAGGCUGAGUAUUAGGCAAAUCCGGUACUCAUUAAGGCUGAGCUGUGAUGGGGAGAAGACAUUGUGUCUUCGAGUCGUUGAUUUCACACUGCCGAGAAAAGCCUCUAGAUAGAAAAUAGGUGCCCGUACCGCAAACCGACACAGGUAGUCAAGAUGAGAAUUCUAAGGUGAGCGAGCGAACUCUCGUUAAGGAACUCGGCAAAAUGACCCCGUAACUUCGGGAGAAGGGGUGCUCUUUAGGGUUAACGCCCAGAAGAGCCGCAGUGAAUAGGCCCAAGCGACUGUUUAUCAAAAACACAGGUCUCUGCUAAACCGUAAGGUGAUGUAUAGGGGCUGACGCCUGCCCGGUGCUGGAAGGUUAAGAGGAGUGGUUAGCUUCUGCGAAGCUACGAAUCGAAGCCCCAGUAAACGGCGGCCGUAACUAUAACGGUCCUAAGGUAGCGAAAUUCCUUGUCGGGUAAGUUCCGACCCGCACGAAAGGCGUAACGAUUUGGGCACUGUCUCAACGAGAGACUCGGUGAAAUCAUAGUACCUGUGAAGAUGCAGGUUACCCGCGACAGGACGGAAAGACCCCGUGGAGCUUUACUGUAGCCUGAUAUUGAAAUUCGGCACAGCUUGUACAGGAUAGGUAGGAGCCUUUGAAACGUGAGCGCUAGCUUACGUGGAGGCGCUGGUGGGAUACUACCCUAGCUGUGUUGGCUUUCUAACCCGCACCACUUAUCGUGGUGGGAGACAGUGUCAGGCGGGCAGUUUGACUGGGGCGGUCGCCUCCUAAAAGGUAACGGAGGCGCUCAAAGGUUCCCUCAGAAUGGUUGGAAAUCAUUCAUAGAGUGUAAAGGCAUAAGGGAGCUUGACUGCGAGACCUACAAGUCGAGCAGGGUCGAAAGACGGACUUAGUGAUCCGGUGGUUCCGCAUGGAAGGGCCAUCGCUCAACGGAUAAAAGCUACCCCGGGGAUAACAGGCUUAUCUCCCCCAAGAGUUCACAUCGACGGGGAGGUUUGGCACCUCGAUGUCGGCUCAUCGCAUCCUGGGGCUGUAGUCGGUCCCAAGGGUUGGGCUGUUCGCCCAUUAAAGCGGUACGCGAGCUGGGUUCAGAACGUCGUGAGACAGUUCGGUCCCUAUCCGUCGUGGGCGUAGGAAAUUUGAGAGGAGCUGUCCUUAGUACGAGAGGACCGGGAUGGACAUACCUCUGGUGUACCAGUUGUCGUGCCAACGGCAUAGCUGGGUAGCUAUGUGUGGACGGGAUAAGUGCUGAAAGCAUCUAAGCAUGAAGCCCCCCUCAAGAUGAGAUUUCCCAACUUCGGUUAUAAGAUCCCUCAAAGAU
rnacentral:rRNA from 1 species